GGGGAAAUAUUAGGGAAAAUCUUUAAUUGUAACAAAGAAUUUUUUUACCUAUUAAAAAAACCAACCAAACAAAAACAAAAACAACAAAAACACAACCAAAGCAAAACAAAAAUUCCAACCAAACUUUCUUAAGAAAGGAUGCUCUUUUAACGUUUGAUCUUUGUAACUUUCAAGCCUAACCAACAAGAAGGGAUAUUUAGUCCAUGAAACACAUAGUAGCUAACAAGCAAGCUUUAAGUGAUGACCAUGUGUUAGAAAAACAAAUUUUAGUGCUUGACAUGAUCCAGUGAUCUAAGAACUGGGGGAGGGAGUUAGCAUAGCUUGGGAGGAAGGACGUAACCACUAAGAAUGGACACAAAGAGUGCAGAAUUUAUGGGCCACAAGGACAUUUGGCAGGACUCCCAAGAUAAGGAAUAACUCAGUGGUUAUGCUGAAAUCAGCUUCAAAUGAGCAGAAGGUAAUUCUGGUGGGGUGGGGGCAUGGGGGUGUGGCCAUCAACCCAGAGACCACUGAUGCUAGAAACCAACUGACCCAAAAGAAGAGAAAGAUUAAUCAGCAUGGGAAGAGUGGAAUCAUUAACCAUUAGAGAAAACUAAUUAAUAAGAGGACUCUGAAAUUUGUAGCCAAUGAACACUAAUUCCUUAGUUUUUUAAAAUGUAUCAAUUGUUAGAAGUGUUGAUAAUUGCCAUACACGGUAGGUGGAACAAUCCCCCAUGUACCCAAUGCUGAUAAUGUCAACUUUCUAACCAAACAAACUGAUUGGAGAGGUUAUUUCCGUUUCUCUGUGUCCUGCCCAAUCUGGCCUUGAACACUUCCAAGAAUGGGACAGCCACAGCUUCUCUGGCCAACCUGUGCCAGGCCCUCCCCAGCCUCACAGGGAACAAUUCCUUCCUGAUAUCCCAUCCAACCCUGCCCUCUGGCAGUGGGAAGCCAUUCCUCCUUGGCCUGGCAUGCCAGAUCUGAUUAUGAUGCCCCCAUCUACCUGCAGGCCCCCUGUAAGAACUGGGGUGUCACUCUGAGGACUCCCCAGAGCUGUGGAAGAGCUCUGGGGGAGUGAGGUAGGAGCCAGUCCUGGGACAGAGACAGAGAUGCUUCUGGUUUGUGGCUGGAGGUCCUGCGUUCUGGGGUAGGACAGUACCACCCUGCAGAUUUCAGUAUCUUUAUUAAGAAAAAGGCAUAUUACAACAACUUCUAAAGUACAGCUCCAUUCUCUAGUCUCUGGGUCUUAACACCUUCUGAAAAGCACUUGGUUAAAAAGCAAAGUCAACAUGAAUAUCAUCCUGGCAAAACACGGUGACAUGUAGCAAAAUGAACAUUCAAAUGAAGCAGAGCAGGGUCAAACCUUUGGCAUCUGUCCCUCUGUGGCGGGUCUGCUGCUUCCGACAUGCAAAGGUCUGGGGCAUUCCCCGGGCCCGAUAGUCUAAUUCCUGUGAUAAUUGCAACAACAGGAAAGGGGAGCUUUCUUGUAAGCUGCGAGAUGACUGGAAUCUAUGGGGAAGAGCCAGGAGGCAGAACCGCACCCUGGCCAGGGAGGGCCAGGCACCGUGUGGGUGUGGGCUGGGUGCACCUCUCACACACCGGCAGCUUCGCCCCCUGUUCCUGCCCGAACGUGCGAGGAAGGGGAGGGUGAGGUGAAGGACUGGAUGUGGUGGCAGUAUCGAGUGUCACCCUCCGUGUCCUGCCCAGAGGCACCAUCCCUUCAUGGGGCUGGGACAGCAGCGUCCCUGCAGGGCCAGGGGGCAAGGAGGACACAGAGGCAGAAAUGGGGCCCUGGGCAGCAAAGGGCAGCUCUGACGGCGAGGGGACACGGUGCUUUGAUCCUUGUGCUUUACUGGCCGUGGUGUCUGGUGGCUCCUCCACAGCUGCUGUGCUCAUCGGUCCCGAGCUCCUGCUGCUCGCCCAGCCGGCACUCGGCACUGCUGAUCUUACCCACAGAUCUCAGAUACCUGCAUGAGCCAACCCAGAGGCGUAAGGGAGUUCUCUCCCGUCCUGCUGGCAGCCAGGCGCCAACAGUGUAAGACGGUGACAAGAACAGGCGUGCAGCGAGGCGGCGGCAGCGUCACUGCAGCCAGACUGGCUCGUCAGGGAGCUGGGACAUGAGGGCUGGUGUUCCAGCAAAGGCAGGAUGGUGUGGCUUCACUGGGGCAGCAGGAGCCACUUCACAAGGCUGUGCACAAGGACUCUGAAAUGUUCACCUAACCCCCAAAAAUGAAAGUCCCUUGUUGUGCUGCUGAUUUACCUUCCUAUGGGGAGAACUUGGGAAAAGCAGAGCAAUCCCUUCACACUGCUGGCUCCAGCCACUUCAGGCAGGAUGUUUCUUCCUGUGUCACCGCUACCGCUCCUGGGCACUCAGGAAAGAGCACCCAUCAGCUGGGCCGUGGGCCUGGCUUUGCCUGCCAUCAGGCGACCCACAGAAGUUCCCUCGGGAAGCCAGCAGGGCCUGGCCCCAGUUCAGACUGUCUCAGCACAGAGCUGUGCAGCAGUGGGAAGGUUGGGAGCCUAGAGCGGAUGGGAAGAACACGGCUGGGAGUGCUUAGAUUAGCCCUAGCAAACACAUUCAGAAAAUAUGGCUUUUUAGUUAACAGGGUCAAGAAGAAGAACUUCCUGAAUAAUCUGCCCAGGGUUAAAUAAGUCCAGGGGAGCGUGCACCCCGUUGCCAGGACUGGCUCUGCCACAGCGAGUGCAUCUUCCCACACCCACUGCUCACCUCACACCUGCUGCAAGGUGCAUCUGAGACAUCACUUUCUCAGAUAGCAUUAGGAAAAAUAAUGAUAAUAAUAAUAAUAUAACAAUAAUGACAAUAAGGAAGAGAGAUAUUAGCAAACCAAACACAUCAAAUCCAUACACCUCUGCAGAGCUACAGAGCGAAAGGGGGUGCAGAGGAGAGGAGCCCGGCUGUUAGUCUGUAGACAGCUCUCAGCACGUGGUGGUUUACACACACAAGACGUUGUUUAACAACCGAGCGUUAUUGCUAUGCUUCCAUGUCCAGUCUAAUCAUUAACCUUUACAAGUCACCAUCAAACACUGCCCGUUCCAUCGGUGGCGGCGGCGGCGCUCCUCAGUCUGUGCUUUCAGGUGUGCGGCGCAGGUGGAAGCUGCGUGCGCCCUUUGGACUCCCGAGGAGUGCAGAGCACAGAUUAAAUGCACCUACAGGUCCCUGUUACUCCUUACAGGCUAAGGGCAAGCUUGCAGUGCGAGGGGGGAGUCUAUGAGAGCCCCCGCUCCAGGAGGUGAGGGCAGGCCCUGCCUGGGCCCCAGUGGCUCUCAGGCUCCCGGUGGCUCCAGCAGCCUACUCAGUAAAAAAUAGGAAUACUGUCUUUUUGAUUUUUUUUAUCAUUUUGAUCUCUUUGAUCAUUUUAUAUAAAUACAAAGAUUAAAAUAAUUUAUCUCAACAUUAUUUCUAUUACAAUCAUACAGUGUUUUCCCUUCAAAACAAGUGCAUGUAUGUGUGUGUAUAUAUAUAUAUAUAUAUAAGUGUAUAUAUAGUAUCUCUAGAGCUUCCCUCCCCCCUAAGAAAAGCAGCAGUGACUGAAGCAGGUACAGCACGCAAGAGCUGAUCCUUCCUGCUCCAAGGCAAAUGUGCCCAAGGAAAAGUGCAGGGCUCGCCCUGACAACUAAUUUCCAAGCACAUUACAUUGGCAUGAAGGGGGAACUGGGGUGCUCGCUCUCCAUCCCUUUGGAACCCCCCUCGCUGCAGGGGCUCUGCUGCCCACCCGGGCUCCAGACCUGCCCAGCACCGGGAGCACCGGGGAGGGACCUGCAUGGGGCACUGGAAUGAGAUCAACUCCUUGAGCAAGCUGCUAAUUACUGGUGCAGAGGAAAGGGCCCUGCAGCGCAGACAGGGUUGCUUCAUUUACAUACUAGGCACUACGGAUGAUGAUUGCUAGGAAGGUAUUUACACAGGAGAAGGGUCAUACUUCUCCCUCCACUUUCAAUGCUCAGUCAUAAACACCAUGAUCUCAUGAAGAAGUUUGUAAUAAAGAUGCAACAUACUGUGUCUAUCAGGAUUGUCUAGGAAGGAUGGGAAGCAGCCCUCCAAAGCCUGACUAGUCACAUAACAGCCAAAGAAAAAGUACAAAAGCCGCUAAUUUCUGCCCUGCUAGUGCAGCUCAAAUGCUUUGGGGUUUGUUUUUACCAAAGAGCUGGUUGGUGACUGCUGCUGUCAAUCUCAUAAAGCAUUUUAAUAGAGUAUAUAAAUAUUGAACUACAAAAAUAGACAGCUCUGACUGCGCGGGCACACUGAGGGUGAGAGCGGGCAGGCCAAACCUCGCUAGUCUAUGAGGGUGAUGUCUUUCAGGAGGUUUCAAACUGAACUGGAAGGAAACAGGGUCUGAUCUCACUCUGCAGCUCCCUCCUGCCCACACCAGCCGUGGAGGCAGUGGGUCCUGCAGGAGGCUGCUGCCCACCAGCCUGGCAGGGCUGCAGGCAGGGGCCAGGUCCCGGCGGGGCCAGCCAGGCUGGCAGCCCACAUGCCAGGGCAAAACCUGCUCCUUGAGCUGCCCUGAGUGGCACGGGUCCGGCAGCAGCGGGGCAGAGCGACCUUUGCCCUGCCUGGCCGCCAAAGCCCUCUCCUCCCUGCACUAUUUCACAACACCCAGGGAGUGAUUGUAAAACUGAGUUUGGCUGGAAAUGGGGCGAGGCUGCCCCAGCGGGGCCAAGGCAGCUGUACCGCCGCUGUUCUAAGAAGGAUGGGAGGCAAUGGGGGAGGACCAGGGGCUGCUCAGCCCUCAGCAGCAAGCCCAGACCUGGCUGGGGAUGUGAGUGAGAACCAAAAUGCUGGUGCUGAGGAGAGCCCUGUGCAGGGGGCACAGGGUGCAGCCUUGCUCCAGCAGCACAUGGAGCCCGGCUGCAGCCACUGAGUGUCCAGCAGGACUGCCAGUCUUGGCACUCUCCAGCUGCCUUGUCCGAGUCCUGUGUGUGAGCGUGAUGAGGGGAAAUCUGUGCUGGAGACAGCCAAACC
ensembl:lncRNA